ensembl:lncRNA
CCAGGGCCUCCUCUAAGAUUCUGGUUGAACUAAGCUGGCCUGGAAUCUGCCCCAUCCCCUUUUUAAAGCCCUCCAGGUGGUUAUAGUAUGUGUCCAGGUGGUUAUAGUAUGUGUCCAGAUGGUUAUAGUAUGUGUCCAGGUGGUUAUAGUAUGUGUCCAAGUGGUUUUAAUAUGUGUCUAGGUGGUUAUAGUAUGUGUCCAGGUGAUUAUAGUAUGUGUCCAGGUAGUUAUAGUAUGUGUCUAGGUGUUAUAGUAUGUGUCUAGGUCCUUGUCUAUAACUCUGAGUUAGACCCAUCCUAUUACAUGACUACUUUCUAUUAGUCCAAAAAAUCAAGUCACAGGUGCUAGAUCUUUUUUUUUUUUUUUUUGGUUUAUUUUAUGUGUGUGGGUAUUUUGCCUGCAUAUAUGUCUGUGCACAAUGGUCAUAUAUACUGCCUAAGGAAGCUAGAUGAGAGCAUUGAAUUCCCUGGAAAUGGAGUUACAGAUGGUUGUGAGCCACCAUGUUAGUGCUGGGAAUUGAACCUGGGUCCUCUGGUAGAGCAACAAUUGCUUUUAAGUCCUAGGCCGUCUCUCCAUCCCUUCUUUGCAGAGUUGUAAGAAGGUACUAGUGCUUCACCUUCCUGUUCCUAACCCUGCUUCCACCCUAGAUAUCAGCAUCUGGGAUGUAGCCUCUGUGUCCACACUGUGGAAGAAAAAACAAAAAAACAAAACCAUCUCCAUAAAAUGCUUUCAGGUGUAACAGAGUUUUAGUUGCUUCUUCAUUCUCAAUAAAUGUUACUGUAUUUGUAUCACAUCUAAUCAUUGUCACAUAUGAAGUGAGAGAAGCUGAGUUGGUUCAGUGGCUGCUCAGCUGGGUGCUUCCUGGGCACAUCUGUGAGCUGGCUUCUUGAGUAUCAGGUGCAAAUCCAUCUUGUAGAAAUAACUUUGUCACUAAUCUUCAGGAACGUUUGGGGCCUAACAUACAGUUUUGCACAUUCUAGGUGUUCAGCAAACUUUUAAUAAAACUGAGAAUAUAAAGUCUGUAAAUUUGGGGUACCUCCAUAAGCUCAUAUGGUUCCAGAAAUUUGAGUGACUGGGCUAAGACAAAGUUGUCCUGGCCCGGCGUUGGUGGCACACGCCUUUAAUCCCAGCACUCUGGAGGCAGAGGCCGACGAAUCUCUGUGAGUUCGAGGCCAGCCUGGUCUACAGAGUGAGUUCCAGGACAAAAAGAAAGAAAGAAAGAGAGAGAGAGAGAGAGAGAGAGAGAGAGAGAGAGAGAGAGAGAGAGAGAAGAAAAGUUAGUUGUCCUAGUGAUUUGAUUAUGAAACAUCACUCAGAAAGUAUGGCACGUGGCAGAGCUGGCCAGGAUGUGCAGGAGUGAUCUGCAGACAUGCCUCGGCCACUGUCUAUCCCUCCUGCUUCACCCCUGUUUUCACCCUGGUGAACAGCAUUUCAUGUCACCGUCACCGCAGAUGCAGGGUACAGAAGCCACCUUUCCUCCCAGAAAGAAUUUAGUUGGUCCAGUUACAGAGCUAGCAUUAGAUGUGUCUCUCAUGCACACAAUAGGGGAUUUUCUUAAUUUGCAGAAGCACUCCUUUGGCCCCAGUUCUCAUCAUGCUCUGCCCCAGUCAGGUCUGCUUCUGGGUGGGGAUAAUAGACACUGGGCUGACACUUGUUAGUUUAUAUUCUUAGUAUCUAGUUUAGUAUGUUCUGAUGAUUUGUAGGACUGGCCUCUGCCCACUUUUCAGAAUUGUCUUUGUCAU